AUGUGACCCUUCCAGUCGGUGGUUCGGUUAGAUGCUAAGAUGAAGAUGUGAGCAAACGCUCCAGGAUACCCAAGCUU